AGUGGUUGAAUCUUACAGCAGUGGUGAGGAGAAUGGCUUUGUGGCUAAUGUUUUUAACUAUUAAUUGUUCAUUUUCUAAAUCUUCGUAUUGGCACUAAUAGGAGUCCAAAUGAUGUAAUUAUUUUAUUUUUUUCCCCUCUUAAUGCAAUUAUAAUUAAUUUAGCCUUUUUUGGUUUGGAGGGAGAGAUCCAUUAAAGUUGAAAGUUUUUCAGAUAAAAAUAUCAGUCCUCCUUUUGUCCAUCAUUUUGCCAAAUAUCGCAACGAUAUGAAGAGUGCAGGUCCAAGUUCUUUGACGAAUGAGCGGGUGAUACUGGACAAAAAGAUGGGUGUGGUGAUGGCUGAGUCGGAAUUGAGGCGGGAUCAGGAUUUGACGGAUUAGACCGAUUAAAUUUGUGCCCGAAAAUACAAAAACUUAAGGGUCGGGCUUGACUCUUCUUCUGUGAAUCAUGAAUCAAUUGGUGGUUCAAUUUGAUUUGAUUUAGUUUAUUGCUCCUCAGUUACGUGAACAUAGAUUUUG
rnacentral:misc_RNA from 1 species